rnacentral:rRNA from 1 species
GACGAACGCUGGCGGCGUGCUUAACACAUGCAAGUCGAACGGAAAGGCCCUGCUUUUGUGGGGUGCUCGAGUGGCGAACGGGUGAGUAACACGUGAGUAACCUGCCCUUGACUUUGGGAUAACUUCAGGAAACUGGGGCUAAUACCGGAUAGGAGCUCCUGCUGCAUGGUGGGGGUUGGAAAGUUUCGGCGGUUGGGGAUGGACUCGCGGCUUAUCAGCUUGUUGGUGGGGUAGUGGCUUACCAAGGCUUUGACGGGUAGCCGGCCUGAGAGGGUGACCGGCCACAUUGGGACGGAGAUACGGCACAGACUCCUACGGGAGGCAGCAGUGGGGAAUAUUGCACAAUGGGCGGAAGCCUGAUGCAGCCACGCCGCGUGCGGGAUGACGGCAUUCGGGUUGUAAACCGCUUUCGCCUGUGACGAAGCGUGAGUGACGGUAAUGGGUAAAGAAGCACCGGCUAACUACGUG